rnacentral:rRNA from 1 species
AAGGUAGCAAAAUCAUUUGCUUUUUAAUUAAAAGCUAGAAUGAAAGAAUUUUCAUACUUACUUUUUUAUAAAAGAGUUUUUUGAAUUUAACAUUUUCUUGAAAAUUAGAAAAAUCUUUUAAAAGACGAGAAGACCCCUAAAUCUUUACUUUUUAAGUUUAAUUGGGGCAAUUCUUUUAACAAUAAAAAGCUCCUUAUUCUUUGGACUAUGUUUAUAAAAAAGAUACUUAGGGGUUAACAGGAAAAUUUAAUAUUUUAGUUCUUAUAAAAUAAUAAGAUUUUUACCUCGAUGUUGGUUUGCUAAAUCUUUUUGAAGCAGAAAUUAAAAAAGAUAGUCUGUUCGACUAUUAAAUUAGCACAUGAACUGAGUUCAAGUCGGUGUAAGCCAGA